UCCCUCUUUUGAACCAACAUAUUUUACUAUGCAAUCAUCGAAUUUAGAGAUUGCGUGUUAAAAAACCUGGAACAAAAACAUACAAUUUCCACUUGCAACUACUAUAUGUCUUCAUUCCUAAACAGGAAAUUACUGUAUAUGACUGCCUAGGAAUCAGACAUGAAAACUGAAAUUCAUCUGAUUGGCAUAAAAUAAAAGAAGCAUUAAAAGUUUUGACCUUAUGCUCAAAACAUAUAGAGAACCACAAAAGUUAUUUGCUGUUGGUACUUGGUGCCCACCAAACUCAAGAAAAUUUUAACAUGCACUUCAGAUGUAUGCUGGAGGGAAUGUGUAGAGAAUGUCUGCUAGCAUUCAUCACAUUUGGCAAUGAAACAAGCUAAGACC